AUUGGACGCUGGCGGCAGGCCUAACACAUGCAAGUCGAACGGUAACAGGAAACAGCUUGCUGUUUCGCUGACGAGUGGCGGACGGGUGAGUAAUGUCUGGGAAACUGCCUGAUGGAGGGGGAUAACUACUGGAAACGGUAGCUAAUACCGCAUAACGUCGCAAGACCAAAGAGGGGGACCUUCGGGCCUCUUGCCAUCGGAUGUGCCCAGAUGGGAUGAGCUAGUAGGUGGGGUAACGGCUCACCUAGGCGACGAUCCCUAGCUGGUCUGAGAGGAUGACCAGCGACACUGGAACUGAGACACGGUCCAGCCUCCUACGGGAGGCAGCAGUGGGGAAUACUGCACAAUGGGCGCAAGCCUGAUGCAGCCAUGUCGCGUGUGUGAAGAAGGCCUUCGGGUUGUAAAGCACUUUCAGCGAGGAGGAAGGCAUUAAGGUUAAUAACCUUAGUGAUUGACGUUACUCGCAGAAGAAGCACCGGCUAACUCCGUGACAGCAGCCGCGGUAA
rnacentral:rRNA from 1 species